GACCGUUUCCUAGUAUAACACACCGUUUCCAUGCAUAGCAGAGCGUUGCCAUGGACGCAGUUCUGUUCACUCUGGAGGACAGCUAUCAAUCCGCUGAAAGAAGUCCGGAUAAUUUAUCAGCUGUGGCAAAAAAGUAAAGAUUUUAAAUG